UGUCACGAGUUUUUGUGUUAUAUUAAGGAUGAUGAGAUCUGCCAGUGUUUACUUUUGUUUCUUUUUUCCCUCUCAUGUUCUCUCAAUUUCUCUAGGAGUUGUUUACUUUCCUAUGACAGUCAAAUGAGGCACCAUAGACUUUACUCUUCAUCCAAAAAGGGGAAAUGCAAUUGGACAUGCAGCUUAUCGCAGGAAGGCUUGGAAACAUGGAAUGGAUACACAAAGACUCCAGAUCCCCAAAAGAAUAGAACCAUUUCAUUCUGCCUUCCACUGCCAUGUCUUCUCUCUGUUUCUGCUCUUCAAAGAUUCUGAGAAUCAUCUAAGUCUGCUUAAAAGGGCAGAUUUUACAUAUGUUUCUGACUUUGAUUUUCAUAAGAACAUUCCCCAAGAUUUCCAAAAGGCCAACACCUUGAAAAAGUAGGUCAGAUGAUUUAGUACUUGUUUUUUGAAUGUUUUAAAUGUUGAAUGCAACCUUGAUUGGUUCUAGGUGUGCAUUUAGCAUUUAAUUAGAAAUCUAUGCAAUGACCCCUUUCCCACUUUGUUUACGAGAACAUUUAGUAUUAGACAACUAUGUCUGUGGAGCUGGGGUGACUUUCAGAAAGGGAACAUAUAGCCAAAGUUUUGUUUCUACUUAAGUGUAAGGGCAAAGCAUGGCCUCACACAUACAAAUUGUUAAAAAUUCAUUUCUGACUAUGUGUCUGGACACCAGAGUAUCAUUUGCUCUUGUAUUUCAUAAUUAAGUCACUCUAGGGUUAGAGUCACUCAUUCUAUUACCAUGAUAGAUUUCAGUUUCCAUAAUGAGCCCAUCUGAAUUCCAGCAUUGAUUUUCUUUUCCUUGGGAAGAAACACAAAAUCAUUCAUUUGACCUCGAGUUGUCAAUUCAUCAACAGGCCAGGCUCUGUGCUUUGGGACCGUAUAAUAAAUAGUUUUGCUACUGACCACAGAGUUGGAUGGAAUGAUCCCUUUCUGUAGAGAGAACAGGGGGUAAUCCAAGUGAGGGCACAUGGGGAGUGAUUUCUCUUGCCAUCUGCAUUUUGCAUAGGAUCAUGUAACUGCCAGACCAGCAGGCCUGUUCAUUUACCCUGUCAGCUCCAAACAGAGCAGAUUUCAGAGAGAGAAAAAAAAAAGCGAAAUCCAAACAGAGAAGUGGCUUCUGUUUUCUCUUGUCUUGACAUCCUUGGUUCUUAGUCAUUAAAAUAUUUCUUUACUCUUUUUAGACAAAAUAUCCUAAAAUCUUUUCCCUUUAAAAGUUUCCAAAGCUCACAGUGUGGCAGCAGAGUCUCCUCAUAUGUUUAAGAAAUAAGAAAACAAACAUAAACCGUUCCCCCCAUCCCAUUUGAACUCCUUGUUUUGUUAAGUGUUUGUUAUUACCCUUAUCAUUAGGAUUCGUUUAAAUAUAUCCUCAAAGGUUUGGAAUAAAAUUCAUUAACACAUAUAUGCUAAAGGUCAUGUCUAUAUACAAAUGUGUUUGGCUAGUUUGACUAAAUACAUGAAACUACUUAGUAAGUAGAAUGAAAAUUUAAAAACCUUAUCAGUUUUG